rnacentral:rRNA from 1 species
GAUUAACGCUGGCGGCGUGCCUGACACAUGCAAGUCGAACGAGUUCUAGUUGCCCGCAAGGGUGACUAGCGCUAGUGGCGGACGGGUGAGUAACACGUGGGCAACCUGCCUGAGAGCGCGGAAUAACCCUGCGAAAGCAGAGCUAAUACCGCAUGUGGUUGUUGGUUGGCAUCUAUCAACAACUAAAGUCGCAAGACGCUCUCAGAUGGGCCCGCGGCCUAUUAGCUAGUUGGUGAGGUAACGGCCCACCAAGGCUGUGAUGGGUAGCUGGUCUGAGAGGACGGACAGCCACACUGGGACUGAGACACGGCCCAGACUCCUACGGGAGGCAGCAGUGAGGUAAUUUUCCGCAAUGGGCGAAAGCCUGACGGAGCAACGCCGCGUGAGGGAUGAAGUCUC